UGAUAGUUUCUGCAACUUCUGCGAAUGCAGUAGGAAUUUUCGCAGCGACACAACACGCGUCUACCUCUAAUGUAGCCACUUCAUUUCAGCAGAUGAGGAAAAAGUUUUCAUUCGGCACAGUAGCACAACCCUUUUUUUUUUUUACUGAAAAUGGGGAAGUUCAUUCAACGGAACCAAAAGGUCCAGCCACGCCAAAUUGAGUACAUGAGCAGGGCCAUCCUCCAUCCACACAAAAUUUGGAUUGGUAGGUACUAAUUGUACUAAUUCAUGAGUAAUUUUGUUUUCACCUCUCUUUACAUGAUUGAAAUUAACUGAUCUAAAAUUACUUACUAGGUCUAGGCAUCAGUAAUGAAAGUUCCAAAACAAGAAUCCAAAUUACCUCCUUUUUUGAGAGCAUUCACUAUUUUUAUAUUGUCACUUUUUAAUAUAAUAUUAGUAAAACAACACUCCAUUGCUAAUUUUAUACCAACAAAGGCUGCAUAAGCCUCUGCCUCUCGUGGUUCAAGUGGGUAUGGUAUGAUCCAUGAAGCUGCUGCCAUUAUUUGGCCCCAAUUGUCUCUAACUACCACUCCCACACCACCAUUAAAAUUUUUGAAGAUUGCAGCGUCAACAUUAACUUUCAAGACAGAGUCUGGUGGGCACUCCCAAUUUUUCAUUGAUGGAUGUUGCUGUUCAUUUCCUCUUGUCCUCGUUUCCUCUCUGAUCUGAGUUUGCCAAAAUUCCACAAAGAGGGAUCUAGCUUUUUCCAAUUCUUCUUCGAUCUGCAGCGUCCUUUCCUCAAACACCAUGGAGUUUCUCGCCUUCCACAAUUGAUUCAGCAUGGUUUGUGUCCCUUCUAACUUCAGUUCUAAGGGUAAACGGGGAGGCAAACCAGAAUCUUUUCGCAAAUUCGCAAUCCUUGAAGAUGUGCUCCUCAGUCUCUUCCUCAUUCCAGCAUCUGGUGCAGAUCGGUGAGCAAUUAAUUUCUCUUCUGUUCAGGCUCUUCUUCGUUGGCAAGGAGUAGUGUAAGAGUCUCCACAUGAAGUUCAGUAUUCUUGGGUGAGCUUUAAUUUUCCAUAGUUGCUUCCAGGUUCCUGUUCUAUUGGUUCCACAUAUUCUCCUUCAUCAGUCAUUGUUUAUACUCCACUUCGUUGGGACACUAAUAUUUAUCACUCUGCUAGUUAUCACUAGUAAGGACUCUUUGCACGAUGUACUACGGAUAGUAACACUACACUCUUCAAACCCUAGGAGAAGAGACUCCCAAGGACAUGAGGAGAGAGGAAUAAUAAGUGAGGUUGAAUUUGGUUUAAGAAAACCAAUUUGGUUGAAUUUGAUUUGUUUAGCACUCCGAUAGUUUCAUUUGCAACAAUGCUAGGGAACCAAGAUAUUUUGGACCAAAAACCUGCCAACUCUUAUUGGGCUGAGAACAUGAAGUAUAGUCCACUUCAGUAACAUCUCAAAUUAACUUAGGUAAACAUAAUUAACCUAAGUGAACUCUCUCAUCUCCUUUCACCGUUUCACCCAAUUAGACCUACAUUACCAUACACGGCUGUGCCACACCACCACCACUCAUCGCAUGGCGUUCUCUUUCGCCGUCGACGGCCGUUGUGCCUCGGACCACAUCGUGUGGGCAACUUCAGUCCUCCAAAGCUAGCUACAGAACGCCGCAAAGCUUCUCUCCCGUUGGCUUGGUCACUGGCGCGUCAGUCGGAAUCACGCCCAUCUCCGCCGCAGCGACGUCGUGCCACCCAGUUGCGAGGAAGAAGGCAGUUUUGCUUGUCGACAAGAGUGCGCCGCUGCUGCUGCAUGUCGGUGUAGGCGGCGCUAUUGAAGCAUCUCUGCCCUACUACCAUAAACGCGACAGAAGGUCCCCUGCCCCAGCCUCAAAACAUCCCUUGCGAGAACUAAUUGUUUCCAUUAAAGGAUUCGGGGCUGUUUCUUGUGAAACCGCAGUAGGAUUGUAUUGCAGAGAAGCCAACCAACAUGGGAAAAAAGAAAUUGUUGGAGUCGUGAUGCUCGCCCAGCUACAUACAUGACAUGAUGAGCACGCUAUCUAAAAACAACUCCGUUGAGAAGCUUGCAGAGAUUG